GAUAACCCUUCCCUCCAGGAUCUUCAUGAGGAUCUCAGUGAUGUCAUUUAUAAAGCCCCUGGGGUCUCGAGAGACCUCAAAAAUGCUGGAGAGACAGGCCACAGCUCUGAAGAGUAGCCCCAACCCCAUGGAGCUGAAGCAGGGUCUGGAGGCCCCCUCUGGGGCCAGCCCAAUCGUGGGAAGGCCCCCAGGGGUUCCCAGGGAGGGAGACUCAGCGCAGAUGAUGUUGAACAGCCUUUACCGCAGCCCUUUGAACAACCACAACUGUCCCGGGCACUCCGCUGAUUGGCAGCUGUGCCUCUAACAUGCCCCCGGCCAGCCUAGGGGGCCGGGAACCAAGCCCUCUGUUGGCAUCUCUGUUUUGUGGGUCCCCAUUCUAGAAUUAUUUCCGCGAUGCCUGGAACAUCUUCGACUUUGUGACUGUUCUGGGCAGCAUCACCGAUAUCCUCGUGACUGAGUUUGGGGUAAGUCUCCCGCCAGCUUCUCUCUGGGUGACUCUGGGCUGGACGAGGCAGGCGGCAGGGGGCGGGGGAGCGGUCCCAGAGGCAGUGUGUCCCGACAGCCAUAGCUGCUUGAGCCAGCACUUGGCCAUGACCAGAGAGGGAAAACUGGGGCCCUGGGGACCAGGGCAGCCCCUCAGGAGGGCAUCGUGGGGAGAUGGGGGUGACCAAAGCUUGGCUGUAGGGCCAGCACUGAGGGGUGGGCUUUCCUGCAUCCUGGCCUAGGAAUUAAUAAUGCAAAUGAGUACAUUGAAGGAACUGAGACACUCAAAAGCUCCUAAAGCUGAGCUGGCUCCCAAACACCACCCUAUGUCAGGAGCCCAGAAAGAAUGAGUUUCAAGUCAAUUCUGUUUGAACCAACCCUCUCCUGGUUCGUGGGCAGGAGAGAGCCACAGCCCUCAGGCCAAUGUGGGGACACCACUCCCAGGGCCAUAGAGGGGUCCCCAGGGUGCUUCCCUCCUCUAGCCCCAGGCCUGGGAGACUCUCAACAUGGGAGUCUCUGGACCUCUCUGUGGUGGCCCCGCAGGCCACAUUGUCCUUCUCCUUUUCUGGAAGACUCAGGGCCCCAGAGUUCCUGUCCCAGUCCCUCUCCUUGGUCAUCUGCCAAUGAGCCCAGGCUUGGGGUCCCUUAGGAGAUUUGGGGGAGGGUAUAAGAUCCUUGCAGGGGGAAGCAAUGGUCAAAGGGCGUCAAAGCCAAGGGUCAAGGGUGAUAUCAAUGUUGUCUUAAUAACAAUAAAAAUAACAAUAGCUCACAAGAAUCGCAGCCUUGCUGUGUGCCAGGGAACUGUGCCAAGUGGUUUACGUGGAUUGGCUCAGGGUAGAGGUCUCGGUCUCAGCUUGUAAGAGAAUACCCUCGGAGGGUUCAACUGAAGGCACCCAAAUGCAGAGAUCACUGGUGGAGGGGAAGGGAAGGGUACCCACAAGGGUGGCAAGGUGCCCAGCGACCAGCCACCAUGGGGAGCCGUUACCUGCCCAGGUGCUGAAGUGGGGAGGGAACCUGAGCAGGAGGCCAGGAGAAGCCACCAAGUGGGAACUGUCCUGUCAAUGUGGAGAGACAGAGACCAGGGCCAAAGCAGGCAGAGAGCAACAGGGGAGAAACACUCCAACCUUUCUCCCCACUCAUCCCUUAUCUCCUGCCAGAGCCUCCCAUUGCCCAAAGUAAACUGGAAGCAAGCUGAAUAUGAUGCUCAGAGCAGGCAGAGAAGUCAGGAGAAUAGAUCCGGGUGUGGUCCGGCCUGAGGAAGAGGGUGUUGCCUCAUUUCACAGAUGGGAAAACUGACCUCAGCCAGGCACGGUGGCUCACGCCUGUAAUCCCAGCACUUUGGGAGGCCGAAGCCGGCGGAUCACCUGAGGCCAGGAGUUCAAGACCAGCCUGGCCAACAUGGUGAAACCCCGUCUCUACUGACAAUACAAAAAAAUUAGCCAGGUGUGGUGGUGCAUGCCUGUAAUCCCAGCUACUCGGGAGGCUGAG
rnacentral:sRNA from 1 species